AUGGAGAAUGAAUUGGUUUCACCUGUCUCUCUAAAGAUUUGUAUUGAGAAUUAUGACCCUUCGUUGAUUAAUUGUUUAUGGCAGCAACAACCGGGUUCCCUUAUGAGAUUGAUUUGAUGGAAUGAUUAGGGAGGCACUGGUAUGAUACUUAAUGUGGAUGGUAGUAGUCUCGGUAAUCUCGACGUUUCAGGAUUUAGAGGGUUGAUCCGAAAUUCUGACGGUGCAUGGAUUCAGGGGUUUGUUGGAAAUAUUGGUUUCUCCCACAUUCUUUAUGAAGAAUUAUUAGGUGUGUAUUACGGUUUGGCCAUGGCUUGGGAGAUCGGUUGCUCGGAGUUGUGGUGCUAUUCCGACUCGAAGCUAGCAAUAAAGUUAAUUUCUGAACCAGUUAAUACUUGGCAUCAUUAUGCAGCUAUCCUCCAUAAUAUUAAGAAGCUUUUGACUAGGGACUGGCAGGUCCAUUUAUUGCAUACUCU
rnacentral:lncRNA from 1 species